GUUUAAUUCGAAGCAACGCGAAGAACCUUACCAGGUCUUGACAUCCCGAUGCUAUUCCUAGAGAUAGGAAGUUUCUUCGGAACAUCGGUGACAGGUGGUGCAUGGUUGUCGUCAGCUCGUGUCGUGAGAUGUUGGGUUAAGUCCCGCAACGAGCGCAACCCCUAUUGUUAGUUGCCAUCAUUAAGUUGGGCACUCUAGCGAGACUGCCGGUAAUAAACCGGAGGAAGGUGGGGAUGACGUCAAAUCAUCAUGCCCCUUAUGACCUGGGCUACACACGUGCUACAAUGGUUGGUACAACGAGUCGCGAGUCGGUGACGGCAAGCAAAUCUCUUAAAGCCAAUCUCAGUUCGGAUUGUAGGCUGCAACUCGCCUACAUGAAGUCGGAAUCGCUAGUAAUCGCGGAUCAGCACGCCGCGGUGAAUACGUUCCCGGGCCUUGUACACACCGCCCGUCACACCACGAGAGUUUGUAACACCCGAAGUCGGUGAGGUAACCUUUUGGAGCCAGCCGCCUAAGGUGGGAUAGAUGAUUGGGGUGAAGUCGUAACAAGGUAGCCGUAUCGGAAGGUGCGGCUGGAUCACCUCCUUUCU
rnacentral:rRNA from 1 species